AUCGCUUCUUGGCUAAGAUCAAGUGUAGUAUUUGUUCUUAUCAGUUUAAUUACUGAUACAUCCUUUAUCCAAGGACAAUAUAUUAAAUGGAUUUUUGGAAUUAGGAGUUGAAAUAGGAGCUGGCUCUGUCCACUCCACAUAGAAACCUGGUAUUGCAGUACCUGAGGAAAAGGUAUACCCCUU